AGAGUUUGAUCCUGGCUCAGGACGAACGCUGGCGGCGUGCUUAACACAUGCAAGUCGAACGGUGACCCUCGGAGCUUGCUCCGAGGCGAUCAGUGGCGAACGGGUGAGUAACACGUGAGUAACCUGCCCCAGACUCUGGAAUAACCCCGGGAAACCGGAGCUAAUACCGGAUACGAGACGGAGAGGCAUCUCUACCGUCUGGAAAGUUUUUCGGUCUGGGAUGGACUCGCGGCCUAUCAGCUAGUUGGUGAGGUAAUGGCUCACCAAGGCGACGACGGGUAGCCGGCCUGAGAGGGCGACCGGCCACACUGGGACUGAGACACGGCCCAGACUCCUACGGGAGGCAGCAGUGGGGAAUAUUGCACAAUGGGCGAAAGCCUGAUGCAGCGACGCCGCGUGAGGGAUGACGGCCUUCGGGUUGUAAACCUCUUUCAGUAGGGAAGAAGCGAAAGUGACGGUACCUGCAGAAGAAGCACCGGCUAACUACGUGCCAGCAGCCGCGGUAAUACGUAGGGUGCGAGCGUUGUCCGGAAUUAUUGGGCGUAAAGAGCUUGUAGGCGGUUUGUCGCGUCUGCCGUGAAAAUCCGAGGCUCAACCUCGGACUUGCGGUGGGUACGGGCAGACUAGAGUGUGGUAGGGGAGACUGGAAUUCCUGGUGUAGCGGUGAAAUGCGCAGAUAUCAGGAGGAACACCGAUGGCGAAGGCAGGUCUCUGGGCCACUACUGACGCUGAGAAGCGAAAGCAUGGGGAGCGAACAGGAUUAGAUACCCUAGUAGUCC
rnacentral:rRNA from 1 species